rnacentral:lncRNA from 10 species
GGAAAGAAAAAGGCUUUUACAUACAAGAUAUUAUUUAAUAGCAAAAUUGGCCAUGCAGGUAUUUUACAAUUGUACAUAUUAGGAAACUAAUGCUCAGAGAAGUUAUAUUUGUAAUUUUCAAACUGGGGAUUGUGACUUAUGUGUGGACCCAUGAAAGCAGUGUGAUUCAUUGACCGCUAUUAAAAAUAGAAAGAGGGUCGGGCAUGGUGGCUCACGUCUAUAAUCUCAACACUUUGUGAGGCCAAGGUGGGAGGAUGGCUUAAGCCCAGGAGUUCCAGACCAGCCUAAGCAACAUAACAAGACCCCAUCUCUACAGUAAAUUUAAAAGUUAGUUUGGUGUGGUGAUGCACACCUGUAGUCCCAGCUACUCAGGAGGCUAAGGUGGGAGGAUCACUUAAGCCUGGGAGGUGGAGGCUGCAGUGAGCCAUGAUUGUGCCACUGCACUGCAGCCUGGGUGACAUAGAGAGACCCCAUCUCUACAAAAAAGGGAAGAAAGAAAGAGUGAGAGAAAGAAAGAGGGAACGAAAGGAAGGAGGAAAGGAGGGAAGGAGGAAGAGUAGAAAAUAUGAGUAUGCUACCCAUACUAAGCAGUGUUUACAAAACUUACUGUGUAUUUGUGUGUAUAUGUUCAUCACACAUGUCCAACUAGCUUGUGAUAUAAAAUAUAUUUCUUCCUAUGGGUCAUGAUCAAAGUGACAGGAUUACAUGACAUGCUGAAAGCUAACUAGUAGAGCUCAUGCAUUACUUAUUAGAGUAGAGCUGAGACCGACCAGAGAGAUAGAGGUGCAACCUGUCAGAGCCCGGGAGGCACCACAGAAAUCUCAACGGUGCCAGGGUGGGGCCCAGGGAGGCCGGUGUUCUGGGAAAACCAACUGUUGUGUGCUGGUUGUAUGAAGUGCUGUGUUGUUGUGGGUUGUGUGCUGGUUGUAUGAGGUGCUGUGUUCUUCCUGUUGUGUGUUGUGUGCUGGUUGUAUGAAGUGCUGUGUUGUUGUGGGUUGUGUGCCGGUUGUAUGAGGUGCUGUGUUCUUCCUGUUGUGUGUUGUGUGCUGGUUGUAUGAGGUGCUGUGUUGUUGUUGUAGGUUGUGUGCCGGUUGUAUGAGGUGCUGUGUCGUUGCUGUGGGUUGUGUGCUGGUUGUAUGAGGUGCUGUGUUGUUGCUGUGGGUUGUGUGCUGGUUGUAUGAGGUGCUGUGUCAUUGUUGUUGAUUGUGUGUUGGUUGUAUGAGGUGCUGUGUUGCUCUGGAGAGACGUCAACUAUGGCACCCUUUGUGUGGAGGGACUGAAGGCCCUGCUGGGUGGUUGGGAGCUCCAGGUUGGAAAACAAGCUGUGUGGGGACGAGUUUACCAAUUGGUAUAUGGCUGUGUACCAGUCCUACGUGGCCUAGAGCGGUGGUUCUAGGAGUGUAGUUCUCAGGCCAGCAGCAUAGCGUCACCUGGACACUCUUAGAAAUGCACAUUAUCAGGUCCCACCCCAGACCUCCCGAAUCAGACACUCUCGUGGUGGGGCCUGGCAACCUGGAGGUAACAAGCCCUCCUGGUGACUCUGAGGCAUAAAGUGUGAGGAGCACUCCCCUGGGGAUGCCUGUUUGGCAUUCUGUGUUUGGCGUGUCUUUGCGCAAGCAGGCAGGGUCUGGUCUCAGAGCGGCCUUGCUGGGAAGCAGACAUGCUGGGCCUCCAGUGCAGCGUUUCUUCUGUCACCCACUCAGCCUUACAGCCUACCCAGCGCAUGCGCCCACAGCACUUAGGUGCGAAGGAAUGCUGCACGUUUCCCCCAUUCCCUGUGCCUUCCACACUGCUGACUCCACCCACACUACCUUAGCAACACGGUAGAGUUUUGCAUAUUCUUUGAAAAUGUGCCCAGUUGCAUGUGAAUAUGAGCAUGCCAACUUGCAUGAUGUGUCUGUUUUGCCUUCUCUGUUAGACAAGGUGCUCCUCCAUCAGAAUCUCGCCUCUGGCUGCCGCAGUACUCAGUAUACAAACACCUGAUCCAAGCACCAGACUCACUCUAACCCUGGCCACACAACCUGCCCCAGGCCGACGUUCCCAAGCUCAUUUGUGGCCCCCAUGACCUUGUGGUAACCUUGAUGUGCCUACCCAGCACCUGCAGCCCAUUUCCUCCCUGCAGGACUCUACCUGUUUCCUAACGAGAGGGGAGCUGUGCGUGGGUGCAGGCUGCCGGCAAUGACAGCCUUUACCACCCCACUUCCUGUGUUGACUUGUAAUGGGGUGUUGGGUCCCUGCUGUCUGAGUGAGCUGUGAACAUUCAUGCUACUUCCCAUUACUGUCUGAAGCUUGGUUUCCACAUCUGCAGUGUGGUAAUAAAAAUACCCAACACUUUGCCGGACGCGGUGGCUCAUGCCUGUGAUCCCAGCACUUUGGGAGACCAAGGCAGGUGGAUCACCUGAGGUCAGGAGAUCGAGACCAUCCUGGC